CCCUUAGAUGUUCUGGGCCGCACGCGCGCUACACUGAAUGGAUCAACGUGUUUUCCCUUCCCGAGAGGGACGGGUAACCCGCUGAACCCCAUUCGUGGUAGGGAUCGGAGCUUGCAAUUGUUCUCCGUGAACCAGGAAUUCCCAGUAAGCGCAAGUCAUAAGCUUGCAUUGAUUACGUCCCUGCCCUUUGUACACACCGCCCGUCGCACCUACCGAUUGAAUGGUCCGGUGAAGCCUCCGGAUUGGCGCGCACCUCGGUGCCGCCGAGAAGUUGGCUAAACCUUACCAUUUAGAGGAAGGUGAAGUCGUAACA
rnacentral:rRNA from 1 species